UAUUUAUUUUAGAGAGUGUGUGGGAGUGGGGCGGGGGGCAAAGAGAAUCUCAUGCAGACUCCCCACCCACCGAACAUGGAACCCAACAUGGGGCUCAGUCUCAUGACCCUGAGAUCUUGACCUGAGCCACAAUCAAGAGUCAGAUGCUUAACCGAGUCACCGAGGUGCCCCACAACUAUAGCAUUUUUACACUAUAUGUGAACUGGUAUAAUUUACUUGCCAGCUAGGCUCUGAUUAAUUAAACGUGUAUUAUAAACCCUAGGGCAACCACUAAAACCAUUGUUUUCGAAAAACAAGUAACUAUAGUUAAAAAUACUGUAUUAUACAUUUGAAAGAGAGUGGAUCUUAAAAGUUCUCAUCACAGGGAAAAAAUUGUAACUAUAGGGGCACCUGGGUGGCUCAGUCGGCUAAGCGUCUUAGCCCACAUCAUGAUCUUGGGGUCCUGGGAUCGAGCCCCGCAUCAGGCUCUCUGCUCAGUGGGGAGUCUGCUUCUCCCUUUGUGUGCAUACGCGAACGCUCUCUCUCAAAUAAGUAAAAUCUUAAAAAAAAAUUGUAAUUGUGUGGUGAUGAGUGUUAAAUUACUUUGGUAAUUGUUUUGUUAUAUAUGCAUAUAUCAAAUCAUUGUGUUCUGUACCUAAACCUAAUACAGUGUUGUGUCAGUCAUAUCUCAGUAAAAAAGUAUAAUGUGCCAAUAACAGAUAGAAAAUGUAAUCAGAAAAAAUACACUCACUUAAUUCAAAUGAACACCGAAACAGAAGGAAAAAAAACAAGGAGUACAUGGAAUAGAAAUGGUAAGGUGAUAGAUUUUAUUCCAGUCGUUCUUAAUAAUUGUGUUAAAUGUAGAUCAUUUAAACAUACUAAUUAAGACUUUCAUCUGUUUAAACAUCCAAAAUCAUCUAACAUACUUUUCACUGUUAAAUUGUUCAAACAUAAUAAUUGAGACAGAUGUAAAUUGUCUAAACAUAAUAAUUAAGACACAGAUUUUCAGAUUAGAUACAAAAGCAAGACCCUGGUAUAUACUUUCUAUAAGAAACUCACUUUAAAUAUGAAGACAUGGGUUAAAAGUAAUGUAUAGCCACUGUGGAAGGCAGUAUGGAUGUUCAACAGAAAGUUAAAAAUAGAACUAUGCUCGCAUCCAGCAGUCGAACUACUGGGUAUUUACCCAGAGGAUACAAAAACACGAACUCAGAGGGAUACAUGCACCCCUCUGUUUAUAGCAGCAUUAUUUACUUCCAAGAUACGGAAGCAGCCCAAGUGUCCAUUGAUUGAUGAAUGGAUAACGAGGAUGUGGUAUGGCCUGGGGAGCUCUAGCCCAGGGUGGCCCUUGCAGGGCUGGCCUGACCCCAGCUCUGGUUUCUGGGCCAGUGGGUGGCUGCUCACUAUGCUGGGCUAGCACCUGCACUUCCAGGAACCUGAGGUCGGCUGCUGUGGGAAAUACUGCCUUUUUGGCUUCAACAUUGUCUUCUGGGUGCUGGGAGCCCUGUUCCUGGCCAUUGGCCUCUGGGCCUGGGCUGAGAAGGGCAUUCUCUGCAACAUCUCAGCACUGACAGAUCUGGGAGGCCUUGAGCCCGUGUGGCUGUUGGAAGCGGUUGGAGGUGUUGUGUCAGUGCUGGGCUUUGACAGCGGCAUUGGGGCUCUGUGGGAGAACACCUUCCUGCGCAAGCUUUUCUCCGUGUUUCUCAGCCUCAUUUUCUUCCUGGAGCUGGCAACAGGGAUCCUGGCCUUCAUAUGCAAGGACUGGAUUCAAGACCAGCUCAGUUUCUUCCAUCAAUAACAAUGUCAGGAAUCUCUUUGCUCAGGAAUAGUGGUUUUGUUGUGGAGCCCGAGGGCCUAAUGGUUGACCCCUCAAUCUGUAUUUCAACUGCACUGACUUGAACCUGAGCCAGGAGCGCUGCGGGGUCCCCUUCUCCUGCUGCGCCAGGGACCCAGCAGAAGAUGUCCUCAAUACCCAGUUGUGGCCACGAUAGCCAGCUCCCACUGGGGCUGGAGCAGCAGGGCUCCAUCCGCACUAAAGGCUGCAUGGGGUCUUUGUGGGCAUCGCCCUUCUCCAGAUCUUUGGUAUUUACCUGGCCCAGAACCUUGUGAGUGCCAUCAAAGCAGUGAAGGCCAGUUGGUGAGGCUGCCACCCUGGUGCACAGGGAGCUACCAUCUCCACUCCUGUUGGGUGGUGGGCUCCCAAGGGGACCGGGAAUGGUACAGCUAAGAGGGCGCAGGCCAGGUGGGGUGGGAGGGGUCUGCCAUAUCCCCACCCAGGCUGGGACACACUUCUCUGUGCAUGACUGUGUGAGGCAGGCCUGGGGCCCGCUGUUGCCUGGGACACAGCUUCAUGAAGCGGCUUCAGAGCUGUCUUCUCUACUAGCUGUGACCUUGACCCUGCCUGGAGCCCACUUGAGCCUCACCGGUGGCCCAAGAAUUUUCUCUCCCUUGCUUGCCUCUCCGGAUCAAACAUGGUGAUGGCUAGAAACUACUCAAACAAAACCUUAACCCUGUUCCUCCCCACCCCCCAAAACAUAUUAUUUAUGUAUGUGUGUUUGUAUCGGGCUCCUUGCUCAGCAGGGACUCUGCUUCUCUCCCUCUUCCUUUCCCUCUCUACCACCCCCCUGCUCAUGCUCUUGCAUGCGUGCUCUCUAAAAUAAAUCUUAAAAAAUUUGUAGAAUUUUUGAUGUAGUGAAAAGAAGGGCCAUAUGCACCCCAAUGUUCAUAGCAGCAAUGUCCGCAAUAGCCAAACUGUGGAAAGAGCCGAGAUGCCCUUCAACAGAUGAAUGGAUAAAGAAGAUGUGGUGAUAUAUACAAUGGAAUAUUACUCAGCCAUCAGAAAGGAUGAAUACUCAACUUUUACAUCAACAUGGAUGGGACUGGAGGAGAUUAUGCUAAGUGAGAUAAGCCAAGCAGAGAAAGUCAAUUAUCAUAUGGUUUCACUUAUUUGUGGAACAUAAGGAAUAACAUGGAGGACAUUAGGAAAAGGGAAAAAUGGGGAGGGGGAAUUGGAGGGAGAGAUGAACCAUGAGAGACUAUGGACUCUGAGAAACAAACAGGGUUUUAGAGGGGAGGGGGGAGGAGGGAUUGGUUAGCCCGGUGAUGGGUAUUAAGGAGGGCACAUACUGCAUGGAGCACUAGGUGUUAAUACAAAAACAAUGGAUCGUGGAUCACCACAUAAAACCAAUGAUGUAUGGUGACUAACAACAUCAUAAAAUUAAAAAAGUAAAUUAAAAAAAUAAAGGACACCACAGGGAUGGAAGAAGCAAAAAAAAAAAAUCUGUAGAAUUUUAGUUUUUUCUAAUUUACAUAAAUGAGAUCACCCCAUAUCUGUUAGCCAAUCCUUAGGUGUUUUAUAUUGCUUUCGUUAGAGGUCUUAGCACCCAAAAGAGAUGAUAGAGGUCAGAUGAUGAUGAUAACUAUAACAGGUAUAGUUUUUUUCUUUGUGGGAGAUACAUACAUUAACUCUAAUGUCUACAGCUCUAUGAGACCGGUGGUAUUAUCCCUGUUUUGCAGAUCAGGAAAUUGAGGCAGAGGGGUUAAGUGACUUGCCCCGUGUUAUGUAGUAAAUGGAGUGCCUGGAUUCACACCCAGGCCAUCUGGUUCCCAGGCUGUACUGUACGAGUCUGCUAAUUUUGCGUUUCACAGGAAAGAUCUGGGCAUAGCCAAAACGUGAAUGAGUUAUUUAGGAAUUUACAUAAAACCUCUUUAAUGAGUUUGCUUAUUUUCUUUCCUUUGCUGGCAUACUUUGUUACACAGUUUUCAUUGUUAGCAUAAGUGGGACAGGGAUCUCUUCAAUUCAGAGGAUCCAAUCUGAAUUUGUAAAUUUUAGCUUGUUUUUCUUUUCUGUUAGGAGAUUUCUAAAUCUGUUCUUACUUUAUUUACUAUAGUUUAGAGCAUGCCUGACUUUCAUGAUACUUGGAGAUCUUCUGCCAAAAUAAAUCCAUCUGCUUUUAAAUUUGAUAUCCCCUAAUCAUUUGCUGUUUUCAGAAAACAGAAAAGCCAAAAACCAAACUGACAGAGAAAGAAAAUAGAGUGUUCAGAUCUUGGUUUCUAGAUAACAUUCUCCAAUAAAUGCAGUCCGGACUCCUUGAUGAAAUGGUUGAUUCCAAGUUUGGGGAAAUAUAAGAUGAGCUUGGAACAUCUUUUGGUACUAGAAAGUAAGUGCUCAACAAAACAAAAAGAAAAAGGAAAGCAAGUAAAAAAGAUACAGGGACAGUCUGAAGGGGCUCUGAAUAACCAGAGCCAGCAAGUUUGAAUAACAAUGAUAGUAAUUGAUUCGAAUCCGUAAAAUAAGUAUCCAUGAGUCCAUACUACAUCAAAUAACAACUGAAUAAAUGGAGAAAGAAUAGUCCUUCCUUACAGUAGAAUUCUAAUUUACACAUCUGGAAGGAAUGAUGGAAAUAAUUUGCCAAUAGACCCACAAGUAAUAAUUAUAGGCAGGAGCUAUCAGUGGAUGCUAAAGUUAGCAAAAAGUGUGAUGAGAAGUGGAGUAUUUGCUUAGUCUCAGUAGAUUUCCCCAUAAGGUCCUCAUUAAUUACAAAGGGAAAAAUAAUAGCUUCAUGGUGGAGAAAUCUGACAGAUAGCAGCUUCACCAGCGAUCAGUUUAUCAGCCUCAGUAAUAAGACAUUGACAUCAUGUACCCUUUGCACUGAGAAGGGCACGUCAUUUCUGUGAUAUUCUUGCCAAAAAUGUAUAACUUCAAUAUAAUCAUGAGGAAAUACUAGACAACCCCAAAGUGAAGGCCAUUCUGUAAAAUAACUGAGCCAAACUCUUCAAGAGUCUUUAUGACCUCUUGGUCCCCCAUCUCCAGGUUUUUUGGUUUCAAAAGUCUCUCUUGUUAAUGAACUGUUAUAGCUUCUUACCCCAUAUAAAACUUUGAUUCCCUAUCUCCUUUCAUGUUUCUUUUUACUGAUAGGGAGAGGAAAUGGAGUAUCCUGAGCUCAGGGGUUGAACAGGAAUUUUUAACUGUUUCAUUGGAGAGAACUGCUUUUUGGACUAAAAGGAGAAUGUCAGCUUCAGGGAGUUUUCAGGGACACAGCCCUUCAUUACCAGACUCAGAAUAGAACACUACUGUUCCCAGCCCCUUCUGCUACUCACGGUCCAGCAUUUGAGUGUUCUUGUCUUACUUCCUUUGAUUUUAUAAUGAAAUCUUAGGUGUGCAAUUUUAGACCAGAGGAGAUAAUAGCGAGGCCUGGAUUUUUAUCACAAAUGCUAUAGCUUGUAAACAUCUGUUGUAAAAUCACUACUAUCUUGU